rnacentral:rRNA from 1 species
GACGAACGCUGGCGGCGUGCCUAAUACAUGCAAGUAGAACGCUGAAGCUUGGUGCUUGCACCGAGCGGAUGAGUUGCGAACGGGUGAGUAACGCGUAGGUAACCUGCCUGGUAGCGGGGGAUAACUAUUGGAAACGAUUGCUAAUACCGCAUAAGAGUAGAUGUUGCAUGACAUUUGCUUAAAAGGUGCAAUUGCAUCACUACCAGAUGGACCUGCGUUGUAUUAGCUAGUUGGUGAGGUAACGGCUCACCAAGGCAACGAUACAUAGCCGACCUGAGAGGGUGAUCGGCCACACUGGGACUGAGACACGGCCCAGACUCCUACGGGAGGCAGCAGUAGGGAAUCUUCGGCAAUGGACGGAAGUCUGACCGAGCAACGCCGCGUGAGUGAAGAAGGUUUUCGGAUCGUAAAGCUCUGUUGUAAGAGAAGAACGAGUGUGAGAGUGGAAAGUUCACACUGUGACGGUAUCUUACCAGAAAGAGACGGCUAACUACGUG